rnacentral:rRNA from 1 species
UGUGCCUACAGUCCGUCAAAGCCUCCUCCUUUUUUUUGGGGUGAUGGCGUGCCUUUUGAAGAAUGAGCCUGCGAGUCAGCGACAUGUCGCGAGGUUAACCCGGGUGGGGUAGCCGCAGCGAAAGCGAGUCUGAAUAGGGCGUAUCCCCCAUUUUUGGGGGUGUAGUGGUGUGUUGUGGACCCGAAGCGGGGUGAUCUACCCAUGGCCAGGGUGAAGCGCGGGUAAGACCGCGUGGAGG